AACUAACGCUGGCGGCGUGCCUAACACAUGCAAGUCGUACGAGAAAGUUGGCUUCGGCCGAUGAGUAAAGUGGCGCACGGGUGAGUAAUGCGUGGAUAAUCUGCCCUUUAGUUGGGAAUAACGUACCGAAAGGUGCGCUAAUACCUGAUAAUACUGCAUAACUACUGUUGUGUAGUCAAAGAAGGCCUCUGUUUACAAGCUUUUGCUGAAGGAUGAGUCCGCGUACCAUUAGCUGGUUGGUGGGGUAAUGGCCUACCAAGGCUACGAUGGUUAGCCGGCCUGAGAGGGUGAUCGGCCACACUGGGACUGAGACACGGCCCAGACUCCUACGGGAGGCAGCAGUGGGGAAUAUUGCACAAUGGGCGAAAGCCUGAUGCAGCGACGCCGCGUGGGGGAUGACGGUCUUCGGAUUGUAAACCCCUUUCAGUAGGGACGAAGCGCAAGUGACGGUACCUGCAGAAGAAGCACCGGCCAACUACGUGCCAGCAGCCGCGGUAAAACG
rnacentral:rRNA from 1 species